CUCUCACUUCACCCGAAUGUCCAAGACAAUCCAAGACAAGACUAGAAUAGUCUGGUGGCAUAACUAAAAAGUCAAUCAUUGUGGUCACGCCACUGCCGUGUGCACAACAGCUCCUGGCAGCAGCUCCUCACCUGCACCUCGUUGGUACUAAUUAUGCCAUGUAUUUAGGCCUCAUAUGUUGGGUCAUAAAUUGCCAGUUCGUUGUGUGAGUCUAGCAUGAGUUUAUGAACUUCUUGUGUGUGUUUUGCCUCAUUACCGCAUUCCUGUGCCACCACAGCCAAGUCUAGUCAAGUCUUGUUUUUGCAUGUCUAGACUUAAACCACCUCAAAAACCAUGUCAAUACCUUGGAGUGCUGCAUUUGGGUACUACCCAAUGUCCCGUGUAGGUGAGAGGAGCCCUUAACCUCCACCAGAGAAGAAGAGUCCAUAUGUGGUACAGUGUCAGGAAAUACCGCCAGAUUUCGUAGAGUUGAUGGGCAGCGUUUGUAGAAAACCUAAAGUAAACAGUUAAAUAG